UGAAGAUCUUCGUAUCCUCGUAAAGAAGAUCUCAUUCAUAUUUUGUCCAUAGCAUGAUUCAACUAACCCAUGCAUUAAUUUAUUUGGUCGAUCAAUGAUGUGAAAGGACGUACAAAAACUAGUGGUUGGUUGUUGCAACUCUAUUGUCAUUGUUUUUGUUUUAUUUACAUUCUCAAAUGUUUUCGUUAAGGGCGGUGCCGCCACCAAUAAAAAUAAAGAAUUGUUAGUUCUUGAUUAUUUCAUUUCAUCAAGUUGAUCGUACGACCAAUUUUAUGGCAUUGUUGCGAGUGACCUACCUUUUGAUGCAGACUCUUCUAUUUUAGGAUCCCUAUACUUGGUUAUAGGAUUCAAAUGAGUCCAAGUUCAGCUAAUUAUUAAAGACAAUUUUGCUCAUCUAAGGUCCUAUUGUGGGGCUCUCUUUGGUGUAGCCUUUCGAAGAUUGUACGUGGAUCUACAACAGACUCUCCCAGAUUCGGUCCAUGACUUGGACAUCUUCACCGUCCAAAGCAUAAUUGCUUUGAAACAGCUAUUGUUGUGGUAGAGUGAUUUGGUCGGAAGGAAUAUAAAUUCAUUCUCAAUGAAACAUCAAUAGUUGGAAUCAAAUUCAAGCAUCACAGCGUGUGGAGGAAGAUGUACAAAUCCUUUUACCUGUAAAAGAACAAAUAACUAUAAGUAGCCAAUGACCGGAGGGGUGUGUGUCGGUCAAAUGCUCUCUGAUGAUCAAGUUAGUAGGCAAAUAUAUGAUACUCAAGCAAUAGGUAAGAGAAUAGUGAGGGAUAAUUGUUGUAGACAUGUAAAUUUCGGUGAAGAAAUACUCACCAACAAUUAAAUUUUGACAUGUCAAAGCUUAAGUGGUAUGCAUCAUGUGUCUCACAUAUUGUACACAUGACACGUGACUCAUCAAAACUAGACGAGUCAUCAAGAGUGACAUGUGUCGAUAUUUGGUGGAGAAUUAAGGAAAUAUUUUUAUUAAUUCUUUGAUUAAUUUCAAUUUAAAUA
rnacentral:lncRNA from 1 species